rnacentral:rRNA from 1 species
GAGUUUGAUCUUGGCUCAGAUUGAACGCUGGCGGCAUGCCUUACACAUGCAAGUACGAACGGUAACAGGUCUUCGGAUGCUGACGAGUGGCGAACGGGUGAGUAAUACAUCGGAACGUGCUCGAUCGUGGGGGAUAACGGAGCGAAAGCUUUGCUAAUACCGCAUACGAUCUACGGAUGAAAGCAGGGGACCGCAAGGCCUUGCGCGGACGGAGCGGCCGAUGGCAGAUUAGGUAGUUGGUGGGAUAAAAGCUUACCAAGCCGACCGAUCUGUAGCUGGUCUGACGAGGACGUACCAGCCACACUGGGGACUGAGACACGG